rnacentral:tRNA from 1 species
GCCUGGAUAGCUCAGUUGGUUAGAGCGUGGUGCCAAUAAUGCCAAGGUUACAGGUUCGAUCCCCAUAAGGCU